AUUGAACGCUGGCGGCAGGCCUAACACAUGCAAGUCGAACGGUAACAGGAAGACGCUUGCUUCUUUGCUGACGAGUGGCGGACGGGUGAGUAAUGUCUGGGAAACUGCCUGAUGGAGGGGGAUAACUACUGGAAACGGUAGCUAAUACCGCAUAACGUCGCAAGACCAAAGAGGGGGACCUUCGGGCCUCUUGCCAUCGGAUGUGCCCAGAUGGGAUUAGCUAGUAGGUGGGGUAACGGCUCACCUAGGCGACGAUCCCUAGCUGGUCUGAGAGGAUGACCAGCCACACUGGAACUGGGACACGGUCCAGACUCCUACGGGAGGCAGCAGUGGGGAAUAUUGCACAAUGGGCGCAAGCCUGAUGCAGCCAUGCCGCGUGUAUGAAGAAGGCCUUCGGGUUGUAAAGUACUUUCAGCGGGGAGGAAGGGAGUAAAGUUAAUACCUUUGCUCAUUGACGUUACCCGCAGAAGAAGCACCGGCUAACUCCGUG
rnacentral:rRNA from 1 species